rnacentral:lncRNA from 1 species
UCUUUUUUGCUUGCGGAGCGGAUUGGCGCUUCGUUACUAUUCAAAGACUGCAAAGAAACAAUUUCCUAACUUCAAUAUCGUAGUCGAUUCAGUGUCGGAUAUCAAGAAAACCAAGUUUCAUCUUUUUUCACGGCUGUAGUUGAAAGUUACAGGAAAUGCAACCUUUAGCAUGAACCAAACAUUGCUUACAAUGUUUGGGUUCACUCAACCCCAAACAGCGCUAACCAUCAUUUGAAGAUGUCCAAAACAACACAAAGGGGUUCACAUCAAGAACUGUGGUACUUCCCAGAACCUGUCUUUUGCAAGAAGCAAGACACAUGCCUAACUGUUGCUGAAAAGUCCACAGUGGGGACAUUCCAAAACUAACUUGGUAAAAUGUUUUAUAUAUGUAAUAGAUGUGUAACAGUAGCAAUUAAAUGCAGACAUGAUGAUAGAUGCAAAUGCAGCCAUAACACUACUGGAAAAAAGAGCUGAAAAAAUUUUCAGGCUUGAACGGGAUUCAAACACACGUCCUUUGCAAUAUGGGUGCAAUGCUUUCCCAACUGAGCUAUCAAAGUCUCAUGAGAGCAGUUGUGUGUGGGUUGGCCCUUUAUGUUCAGUGGACUUAAUACUCGGGCUCAAGUAUGUCAAUUCCAUAGUCAGGGCUCGAGUUUCAGGAAAAAACGUUGGGGUCAGCUGGCCCCUAAGUUUUCAGAGUUAGUUGCCAGCAAAAGUAUAUAAUUCAGUGAAAAGCAUGGAAAGUUAGUCACCAGUGAAAAAAAUUUUGGUCACAUUGGCAACUCCAGCAGUCGUAACGUGGAGCUCUGAUAGUAAUAGGUGUCCAACAAUAGCAAUUAAGUAGACAUGAUGAUAGAUGCAAAUGCAGCCAUAACAGUACUGGAAAAAGACCCGAGGAAAUUUUUGAGCUUGGACAAACUAUAACAUCUCAAUGUUUUGACAUUUUGUCCACAAUGAAAAUAAUAUUUUUUCAGAAAUGCCAACAGACUAAAUAAUGGUUUGGUUUUGUAGUGGACGAAUUUUCCCGGCCAUACUACAAAAGUCUUGACUCACAGGCAAGGUUGUUCAAAAUACUAGCUACCUUGUGGUCAAAAAUUCAUAGAUAAUCAAUUUCCACAAAGAUGAUUAUCAUUAUUAUUUGAAACCUCCCAAGAGUAUUUGAGUAUUUUAAUCUUUGGUCAUAGGCACCAUGCGAUCAUGUUAUUGAAUGAUUUGAGUUUGCAAGUUUUCCGAUGAACUUUGUGUGACUCACAGGGAGGGUUCUUCAAAAAAACUAUAUAUACUCAGCAGUCAGAAAUUCUUUCAGCUUUUCCACCGAAAUGUUCACUCGAACCUGCUGAGAAUGCUUGAUCUCUCUGUAGAAAUACCAAUGGAUUUCCGAACUGUAAUUGACCACAUGACGAAAGUCCGCUACAGGUUGCGUGACAUUGUUGAUACCAACACCUACUGAAUUAUGGCAGAUCUAUUAUUCUACCGUAUUCUGAGAAUUAAAUGAAUUAUUCCAUGGAAUUUCAGACUACCAGGUCUCCAGCUUUUUGUGCACACUUCCCGGCUGCCGGGUAAAAACAAAUAAAAGAAUCAGGAUUCUUUUUAAGACAAAGAGUUACCCUUAGAUAGUUAAUAUUCAAGUUGCUUGUUUGAGUAUCAUCUUUAACUAAUUGCAUGUUAUUUGCCUCAUCUUCCAAGUUCUGCUUACGACGAUUCUUUGAUUUUUCAACAUCUGAGUUGUUCGUCUCAGCAUCAUGAUUUGUUUUCUGUCUGUGUUUUUGUAGUUUGAACUCUUAAAUGGCUCCUCUGUUAUCUUGUGAGAAUGAGUAUGUACUUUGUUUAUCUGGGAGACUGUCAAGCAAUUUAAGUCCUGGGCCAACCCAUUGCGAAAACAAUUGACAUCUUCAUCGGGUCUUUCCCAAACUUUCAUCACAAAUCAC